rnacentral:rRNA from 1 species
CCUGCCCAAUGAAUAAAUUUAAAAGGCCGCGGUAUUUUGACUGUGCAAAGGUAGCAUAAUAAUUAGUUUUUUAAUUGAAAACUUGUAUGAAUGGUUGGACAAAGAAAGAGCUGUCUUUAAUAUUUUUUUUGAAUUUUACAUUUAAGUGAAAAGGCUUAAAUACAUUUAAAGGACGAUAAGACCCUAUAAAUCUUUACAUUUAUUUACAUUUAUUCAAUUUUAGAUAAAAAUAAUUAAAAUGUUAGGUGAGAUGUUUUAUUGGGGUGAUAAAGAUAUAAUAAUAAACUGUCUUAACUAUAAAACAAAUGUGUUUGAUGCGUAAAAGAUCCUUUUUAAAGAUUAAAAGUUUAAGAUACUUUAGGGAUAACAGCGUAAUUUUUUUUGAGAGUUCCUAUCGAAAAAGAAGUUUGCGACCUCGAUGUUGAAUUAAAAAUUUCCCUGUGGCGCAGAAGUUAUAAAAGGAGAGUCUGUUCGAC